UCUCUCCUCUGGAGUUUUGCAGUGAGCCCAGGAUGUGGGCAAAAGUGUUUUACUUCACCCUGGGAAAAGAAAGAAAGAAAACAGGAAAACAGGAGAAAAACAUUCAACUCCACUGAGAGAUUAUUCUAAUCCCAGGACAUGUGGUAGGGGACGUUCUCAAGGAGAUAAAAAUGCCUUUUAUUUCUGUUCCCUAUGCAGAAGAUCAAAAAAAAGGAACUCAGAUUCAAUGAGUUAUGUUGAAGGACUGCAUCGUGAUGGUAAUA